CCUACGGGUGGCAGCAGUGGGGAAUAUUGCGCAAUGGGCGAAAGCCUGACGCAGCGACGCCGCGUGAGGGAUGAAGGUCUUCGGAUCGUAAACCUCUGUCAGCAGGGAAGAACGGUCACUGUGCUAAUCAGCAGUGAAUUGACGGUACCUGCAAAGGAAGCACCGGCUAACUCAGUGCCAGCAGCCGCGGUAAUACGGAGGGUGCGAGCGUUAAUCGGAAUUACUGGGCGUAAAGCGCUCGUAGGCGGUAUGUCAAGUCAAGGGUGAAAUCCCCGCGCUCAACGUGGGAACUGCCUUUGAAACUGGCAAACUGGAGUGUGUGAGAGGAUAGUGGAAUUCCAGGUGUAGGAGUGAAAUGCGUAGAUAUCUGGAGGAACAUCAGUGGCGAAGGCGACUAUCUGGCACAUAACUGACGCUGAGGAGCGAAAGCGUGGGUAGCAAACAGGAUUAGAUACCCGAGUAGUC
rnacentral:rRNA from 1 species